rnacentral:misc_RNA from 1 species
GAGAAACAUGAGGCGGGUACGAGGUCGUUUUCUUGCAUCCAACGACUGUUCGACGAUAUUCAUUCUCCAACCAUAGACUUCUCUCAUCUUCUCCUACGUUCUGAAAUCUUUUUCUCACUUCACACUCAGAUUCAUACACCCAUUUACAUUUCUUAAUCAAAUACCCAUUUCCCUAAAAUGGAUAGAGACUCAUCGGACGACGAAGAAGAUAGCCAGACGCUAAUUGAGCAAAACGACAGGAAAUCCCAACCACUCCCUACUUCCUCUCCCCAGCGCCGAUCCUCCUCCACCACCUUAGACAUUGAGUCUCUUGGAGGUUCAAUACGUCGUCGUUUCUUCCGUGACUUCAAUAAGAGGUAUUACUACUUCUUGUUGGUCAUUUUUCUCCCUCUCUUAAUCGUCGUCGUUGUUUUCUCGGCCGAUGUAAGGAAUCUCUUCUCCGCCAAUAUUUCUGCUCUUAGGCUUGAUUCUGUUACUGACCGCAUGAGAGAGGCUGAGUUGCAAGCGCUUUACCUGCUGGGUCAGCAGCAAGUUUCUCUCUUUUCUCUCUUGAACCAGUCAUUUCCCUUUCACAGUAAUAACUACAAUAGUACGAUUUCGAAUUCUAAUUCCAAUUCUAGUGUUAAUUACAAUUCCACUUUUGUGUUCAAUAACUUUGAGGGAGAAAGUUUGAAAUUCAAGAUUGAGGAUUUGAGAUCUGCCCUUCUCAAUCAGAUUUCGCUGAAUAAACAAAUUCAACAGGUUCUAUUAUCCCCUCACAAGUCCGGGAGUGCGAAUGUAUCUUCUUCAGAUUUCGAUAACGCUGCUGGGCCAUUUCUGGGUUCUGGGUUUGGUUACGAUAGGUGUAGGAAGGUGCAGUCGAGAUUCUUGGAAAGGAAGACCAUAGAGUGGAAACCCAGAUCAGACAAGUUCUUGUUUGCCAUAUGCUUAUCUGGGCAGAUGAGUAACCAUUUGAUUUGCUUGGAGAAGCAUAUGUUUUUCGCGGCUUUGUUGAAUAGGGUUCUGGUUAUGCCAAGCUCUAAAUUCGAUUACCAGUAUAGUAGGGUGCUAGAUAUUGACCAUAUAAAUCAAUGUUUGGGAAGAAAGGUGGUUGUCACAUUUGAAGAGUUUGCACAAAUGAGGAAGAAUCAUAUCCAUAUUGAUCGGUUUAUAUGUUACUUCUCUUCACCUACUCAUUGUUACGUGGAUGAAGAGCAUAUUAAGAAGUUGAAAGUGUUGGGGAUUUCAAUGGGGAAGCUUGGGUCGCCUUGGAAGGAAGAUGUUAAGAAACCAAGUAAGAAGACAGUUGAAGAUGUGCAGGCCAAGUUUACUUCCAAUGAUGAUGUUAUUGCAAUUGGAGAUGUGUUUUUUGCUGAUCUAGAGAAGGAGCGGGUGUUGCAGCCUGGUGGACCUCUUGCUCACAAAUGCAAGACAUUGAUAGAGCCAAGUAGGCGUAUAAUACUUACUGCCCAGCGAUUUAUUCAAACUUUCUUGGGGAAGGACUUCAUCGCUCUCCAUUUUCGACGGCAUGGCUUUUUGAAGUUCUGGUAUCCUUUUCUUUUUCUUGCUUCUGUCGUCUUUUUGUCUUUAAAAUGUUUAUUGCUCUGUUUGCUUAAAGCUUACUGGGUUCUAAGCCUGGUGGACUUUUGCCUUGUAGGAGUGAUGGCUCCUUUGUAGCGCAUUUUCUGCUUGUGUAUGUUUAUGGAGAGUACUGAGAAUACUUGGACAUUAUGGUGACUAACACUUUUUUGAUGUUUUUCCAGCAACGUGAAAAAGCAAAGUUGCUUUUACCCCAUUCCGCAAGCUGCAGAUUGCAUUGUGCGGGUGGUUGAAAUGGCCAAUGCACCAGUCAUCUACCUUUCCACUGAUGCAGCAGAAAGUGAAACUGAUUUGUUGCAGUCACUAAUUGUACUGAAUGGGAAAAUUGUACCGCUUGUCAGACGUCCAUCUCACACUUCAGUUGAGAAGUGGGAUGCUUUGUUGUCAAGACAUGGCAUUGAGGGCGAUUCUCAGGUAAGAUUGUGUUUCUCUUACUUUCUUUUUCAUAAUCUUUUAUUUGGCUGAGUUUAUCAUACCUUUCCUUUCACUUCACUGAUAGUUCCCAGGCGUUUGGCCAGUAUAUCAAACAAUUGAAAAUGCAUCAGGUAUUUGUCUUUCCCAAACGUGUUAAGGGCAGGCUUGAUUGUUCGGCUUCUGGUUCAAUCUGGCUGAAGAAUUUUACAAGCAGUGUAGCUUGUAUAAUUGGUCUAUUAUGGUUUAAUUCAAUUUGAGGUCUGUUGUUCCUGAAUUGUUGAAAUUGGUAACAAACAAGAACUUCUCAAUUGCACAACGUUCUAUUAUUAUUUUAAAGACUUACCCUAAUACAUACAGGAAGUUUACUGACCGCUCAUAUCGGAAAAUUAAUUAAGAAACCUUAGCUGCAUGUGUUGAGCUAAGUUUACUAUUAUGCUAAUGUGAAUGGGCAUUCAACUAUUGGUGAAGGAUUGAAUGCAUGCAAUUUUUAUGUUUCAUGUCUAAUCUAGAUUUUUAGAUUCAACUGGAUAGUGUGGUUGGACAUGGUCCUGCAGUUUGAUGUGAUUGGGUACUCCUUUUUAUCUUUGUAAAAUUUUCCAAUUGUAAUUCUUCAGAGAAACUGAGAAAGUGCUUCUCACAUAGCUCAAGCCUGUGUUAGAUACUUGGAUGUGAGAAGUUUUAUAUCAGUUUUGAAUAUAAUGGCACAAAAGUAUUUUCUGCAUGAGCCUUACGCAUGCUAAUUCCAUGAGAAAUCCUUUUAGCAGACAUGCCAUCUUCUCAUUAGACAGUUCUUGCACUUGCAUGCAUUUACAUUUAGUGACUCUUGAUCUUGCAGGUAGAAGCUAUGCUUGAUAAGACAAUCUGUGCUAUGUCUAGUGUUUUCAUAGGAGCCUCAGGUUCCACUUUCACUGAGGAUAUUUUGCGGCUGCGUAAGGAUUGGGAAUCAGCUUCUUUAUGUGAUGAGUACCUAUGCCAGGGUGAAUCGCCGAACUACAUAGCAGAAGAUGAAUGAAGAUGAAGGAAAUUGUCCUAUUAUUUUCUGCUAUACAAUGUCAUUCCCUGUGAAGAUGCUUUACCAUGAAUUACCUGCAAGAACGCAAUUUAUUCUUCCUGGGUUGAUGCCUUUUACAGCUAAUGAAGCUGAAUCUAUUGCCUUUGUAUAUGUUAGUGUAUAAUUGUAGCAUUUCUAUUUUGCACAUAAGUUUGUGUUGAUUUUUGCAAGACACGCGUUUAAAAUACAUCAGCUGAAGAAAUUGUUCUCCCUCUGUUGCAACUGAUGACUUCUAAUCAUUGUUUAUAUUAAAAACUAUGAAAGCUAAAUCGGGAAAAAUAAUUUGUGGAGUGGCAUGUACGCUACCCAUUUGUCUUUGGG